UACGAAGGGGGGCUAGCGUUGUUCGGAAUCACUGGGCGUAAAGCGCACGCAGGCGGAUUGAUAAGUCAGGGGUGAAAUCCCCGGAGCUCAACUUCGGAAUUGCCUUUGAUACUGUCAAUCUCGAGUCCGGGAGAGGUGAGUGGAAUUCCUAGUGUAGAGGUGAAAUUCGUAGAUAUUAGGAAGAACACCAGUGGCGAAGGUCGGCUCACUGGCCCGGUACUGACGCUCAUGUGCGAAAGCG
rnacentral:rRNA from 1 species